UUAAGGGGGUGUUCACACAGGCAGUUUUUUUUUCAGGUGCGGGUGGAUGUUUUACAUUAUAUUCCUAUGAUACAGGGUGUUUUUGUAAAAACAUCCUGGGUGCUUUUAAAAACACCGCUGCCAGCGGGUUUUUUUCACUGCUCUGGGUGGUUUUCAAGUUGGGAUAAAUUCAACUCGCCAAGAAAAAGCACCCGACGUCAGGUAGUUUUUUGACAGCUGACCAAUGAACGAGAACCUACGUCACUAGGAAAAACGUUGGAAAUUCAAGAAUGGCGACCCAAACCAAGACGUCUUUCCCGACGGAGCAACUUGUUGUUCUUGUCAGUGAACAUGUUGAGUUGUAUGACAUGACCAACAAAUUAUACCACAACAUUUAUCACAAGGAGAGUAUCUGGAGGACGAUCGGUGGGAUUUUGGGACAUAAGUGGGAGGAUUGCCGUGACAAAUGGAAAUACCUUAGAGGCAAGUACGGCAAAGAAAGAAAGGAAAUGAAGGAGAGGAGGAGUGGAUCGGAGGGAGGACAUAAACACAGUUGGAAAUAUGUAAAAAUUCUAUCUUUCCUGGAGCCUUAUGUCCAGGAAAGGCUCACAAUUAGUAACUUCGACCAGCCAAGCCAGACAGCAGAGAGCAUUUUGAAUGCAAUGUGUGAAAACAAUGAGGUAAGACUAGAUGAGAUUGGGCUAAUGUGCCAUGAUGAACAGGCCAAUUCAUAAUUGUAGGCUAAAUCAAACGAGUGAAGCUUAUCAGCUGUAUGACUAUGUCCUGUGUUUAAUCCUGUAGAUUGCGAAGGAAAAAAAAAUUAUGCUUUGUGUAAUGUUGUGUUUUGUCCCGUGUUUCCUUUACCUGACAGACUACAUUGGAUGACACAAUCAGUAGUCAACCUGGGCCUGGUUCUUUAAAUGGCAGUUCAUCAAGGCCCCCACCCCAUUCAUCUAGGCCCCCACCCUCUCCAUCUCCACCCCCACAACCACCUCAACAAGAACAGCAGCAGGAAUUCGGGCCCAUGAGAGUACAAAGAGGA
ensembl:lncRNA